rnacentral:snRNA from 1 species
CGAUGUGAGGGCCAUCUGCCUGUGACACCUGUCACCACACUGAUCUCCAGCCUUGAGUCAGCCCAUGUGCCUGCCCAAGCCCAUGUCCCCUUCCUCACCCAGCGCUCCAUAUGUGCUCCCAAAGCUGCUGGGGCACAGAGGACGACCUCCCCGAUACAGACAGUACAUUUUAUCACUCAAGGCCAUUUGGCAGCUGUGAUCUCGGCUACAACCUCCCAACCUGCCCAAGGCACUAGAGCUGCAUUACUAGGAGGGCUUUCCCAGUAGUCAUAAAUAAAAUUUUGCACAAAAGAAGACUGAAAUAGGGUGUGAAAAUGGGAGGCAUCCAUGU